rnacentral:rRNA from 1 species
GAAUAUUGGUCAAUGGGCGAUAGCCUGAACCAGCCAUGCCGCGUGAAGGAAGAAGGCUUUCUGAGUUGUAAACUUCUUUUAUCAGGGAACAGAACGACCAUGCGUGGUUAACUGAGUGUACCUGAUGAAUAAGCACCGGCUAACUCCGUGCCAGCAGCCGCGGUAAUACGGAGGGUGCAAGCGUUGUCCGGAUUUAUUGGGUUUAAAGGGUGCGUAGGCGGGGUGUUAAGUCAGUGGUGAAAGCCAGCAGCUCAACUGCAGAACUGCCAUUGAUACUGGCACUCUUGAGUACGGAUGAGGUAAGCGGAAUUUAUGAUGUAGCGGUGAAAUGCAUAGAUAUCAUAAAGAACACCGAUAGCGAAGGCAGCUUACCGGGCCGUAACUGACGCUGAGGCACGAAAGCGUGGGGAGCGAACAGG